GGGGAUGUAGCUCAGGGGUAGAGCAAUUGCCUUUUAAGCAAUGGGUCGGAGGUUCGAUUCCUCCCAUCCUCACAA
rnacentral:tRNA from 1 species